rnacentral:rRNA from 1 species
UAUGGCUCAGAACGAACGCUGGUGGCGUGUCUUAUACAUGCAAGUCGAGCGGUGCAGCAAUGCAUAGCGGCGAACGGGUGAGUAACGCGUAAGCAAUCUGCCCCCUGUUCGGGAAUAGCCGUGCCAACGCGCGGGUAAUACCGGAUAUUGUGGCCCUGGACAUCCGGGGUUGACAAAAGAUUUAUCGACAGGGGAUGAGCUUGCGUCCGAUUAGCUAGUUGGCGGGGCAACGGCCCACCAAGGCGACGAUCGGUAGCCGGCCUGAGAGGGUGAUCGGCCACAUUGGGACUGAGAUACGGCCCAGACUCCUACGGGAGGCAGCAGUAGGGAAUAUUGCACAAUGGGGGAAACCCUGAUGCAGCAACGCCACGUGUGGGAAAGAAGCAUUUCGGUGUGUAAACCACUGUCGUGAGGGAAUAAGGCUGAGUUUCGGCUCAGUUGAAUGUACCUCGAGAGGAAGCACCGGCAAACUUCGUGCCAGCAGCAGC